rnacentral:rRNA from 1 species
UCCUACGGGAGGCAGCAGUGAGGAAUAUUGGUCAAUGGGCGAGAGCCUGAACCAGCCAAGUCGCGUGAGGGAAGACGGUCCUAUGGAUUGUAAACCUCUUUUGCCGGGGAGCAAAAAGCGGUACGUGUACCGCAUCGAGAGUACCCGGAGAAAAAGCAUCGGCUAACUCCGUGCCAGCAGCCGCGGUAAUACGGAGGAUGCGAGCGUUAUCCGGAUUUAUUGGGUUUAAAGGGUGCGUAGGCGGUCCGUUAAGUCAGCGGUAAAAUUGCGGGGCUCAACCCCGUCGAGCCGUUGAAACUGGCAGA